UUAUACUUAUGUAUUUCAGACAAAUAAUGAAACAUUAAUUACACUUGAUCUGCGGUGGUGUCUUAUCUGUGAUAAAGGCGGUCAUGCAUUGGCUAAAGGUCUGAAGAGAAAUGUCAGUCUCAAAGUUUUAGACAUUAGCUGGAAUGGCCUAGGAGAACGUGGAUUAAAGAGUCUUGCAUUAGCUCUAGCUUAUAACAACUGCCUUAAAGUUAUCAAUUUGGCCAAUAACAACUUGACAGCAAAAACAACAGUUCAUCUUUCU
rnacentral:lncRNA from 1 species